UAGCUCAGUUGGUUAGAGCGUGGUGUUGAUAACACCAAGGUCACAGGUUCAAUCCCCGCU
rnacentral:tRNA from 1 species